GAACAGGAAGGGAGGAAGCCGGGACCAGCGCGGCCCAGAAUUCACUCUCCCUGUCAGCUCAGCGCAGCCACCGGGGUCCCUGAGAGGCCCUGGGGACAAGGAAGGAAGCGCCUGUCGCAGGACGCGGAAGGCCCCAGGCCACAGGAAGGCAGAGCGCCAGGGCGGCGAACAGCUCACUUCCGACCCCCCUGUGCCACUGCGGAGCUCAGCUCAGGCGCCCAGCGGAGCCCUCAGGGCAAGGAUCCCAGCGGGGCGUCACUGUGGCCCCAGGAACAAACCAUCAGAUAACUGGGAAAGGGCAGGGUCCUCCUAUGCAGAGGAGUAAGGAGUGCUUGUUGGAGAUGCUCUGCCCUCUGGGGAGCCUAGGUCCCCGCCCUCGCUGGGAGCUGUGCCAGGCCAGCAUUCUCUCAGUUUUCCUGGAAGCUAAACCUCUUCCAAACAAAAGUUAAUCAAGAAAUUUAAAGACCUAAAUUUCACAAGCAAAAGUUCAGGGUGUGAUUUCUAAGGUCACUAGGGAAAAACAAGAAACCAGGUACAUCACUCCUAACUGCGAGAGAAAAGGAAAAGUCAGGUGUGGUGGUGCUCCCCGGCAAUCUCAGAUCUCGGACACUGAGCAAGACCUCUCUCUCUCUCUCUCUCUCUCUCUCUCUCUCUCUCUCUCUCUCUCUCUGAAAAAGAAACAGUGAGGUGAAUUACUUCUGAAGAAAUAACGAAAAGCUUCCAGCCUACUUAGAGGAAGCAAGACAGAGAGGAAGACAGAAUCAGGUGCUAGAAAUAAGCACGAAUAUACGAACAUAUUCUCCUUAUGCUAUGCAUCCUCAUACAAUACUGGCAGAGCUGGGGCCCCUGGCAACCUCAGAGCGUGAUCUCAGCGCAGGGCUCUGCUGCCCUCCGGUGGCCGCUCGGUGUCACUGCAGGCCCCGCCUGCUCUGGUCCCAGGAGGAGAGAGCUCCAGUUUGGGAAGCUGACCUGCAGGGAUGCGCGCCCCUCCUCCUGCCCCCAAGGUCGCCCUCCCAUCCCUCUCCCUUGGGGACAGUUUAGAGCUACCUGUCCACAGAGCCUCACGCACUCACAAGCCGCCUCUGGGAGGUGAUUGCCUCAUGGGCGUGGUACACCUGGGUUGUCAGGAGGUGGGAUCUGGGCUGAGAGAAAUCGCCUGGUUCAGGGCCUGGAAGCCUUCAUCUCGCUGCCUCUGCUCCCGGGACCCUGCUUUCUCUCUGCCAGGCCCCUCUGCCAUGCCGCGCCGCCUUCUGAGCUGCUGACUAGGGACUGAAACCUCUCCUCCUCGGUUAACUUGUGUGUGUCCGGUAGCGUGUCUCGGUGACCAAGUCACUCCCCUCGAGGUCCUGCCCUCGACACCUGCACGGCACGCUUCCCUCGGGCCGUAGCAGCUCUCAGAUGAUUUCCCAAGAUGAGAAGGCUCUCAUUUGCAUCAUUUCAAAUAACAUUCUUCACGUUUGUUCUGAUUGGGUUUGUGUAAAGGAUGUAUUCAUAACCAACCUGUAGAACCAUGGAAAUGACUAUCCUCAUUGGGUUUAAUCCAAACAAAAUCCCCUCCCAAAGGUCACUUAUCAGAAAUUGCAUCCUUUUAUGGAAACUACAGGUUACGGAUUCUAUCUGGAUGUCACCCUCAAGCCGCUUGCACCCAGAGGUUUUUCUCUCCUUUGGUACCGGGGAUUGAACUCAGGACCUUGUGGUGGUGAGGCGGGCAUGGUGCCACUGAGCUGAAUCCCUGGCCCUUCAAGCUCUGUUAUGUACACGUAGCCACUCCCCAAGUGAUUGUGAACUGCACAACAAAAAUAAACAACAGUGUAAACAGCAGGCCUACUUUCUAACACUGAAUCUCCCACCCUCAGCCAUAAUACAACCCUAAAUGUAUUCCUAAACCUCAACCAAAUUCCAACAAAAGCCGCAACCCAAACUGCACCUUGCCCCUUGGUCCUAAGCCACUUCCUCACCCUAAAUGUAGCGAAAUUGUGAGGAUGCGACCUCACUUGCUUGGUAUUAGAACCCAGCGAAACUGGGUGCCCUUCGGAAUCUGUCUCCCAUCCUGACCCCUUGGAGGGAGACAGAGAAGAGGGGAGGACGAGCUGUUGUCAUUUUCCCGCUCUCCGACGGUCUAGCCACAGAAAGGACCGCCAUCCGAGCCUUUUCCGACCUUGGCUCAGCUCUGGCCACAGGUGUUUCCAGCUAAUGUUCAGGAGGAACCCACAUGUGAGAGAGGCAGUGCAGUGCCCGUCCUGGACGUCCGCGC
rnacentral:lncRNA from 1 species